UAAGGAAUAUUGCUCAAUGGGAGAAAUCCUGAAGCAGCAACGCCGCGUGGAGGAUGAAGGGUCUAUGACUUGUAAACUCCUGUAAAGAAGGAAAAAAUUCCCAUUUGAUGGGAGAUGAUGGUACUUCUGGAGUAAGCCCCGGCUAACUACGUGCCAGCAGCCGCGGUAAUACGGAGGGGGCAAGCGUUGUCCGGAUUUACUGGGUGUAAAGGGUGCUCAGGCGGAUUUGUAAGUCAGAGGUGAAAUCUUACAGCUUAACUGUGAAACUGCCUUUGAUACUGCAAGCCUAGAGUAUGGAAGAGAGUGAUGGAAUAUCUGGUGUAGCAGUGAAAUGCGUAGAUAUCAGAUAGAACACCAAUGGCGAAGGCAGUCACUUGGUCCAUUACUGACGCUAAAGCACGAAAGCGUGGGUAGCAAACA
rnacentral:rRNA from 1 species